GCCUUCCGGAUCUUCUCGAUUACUCUCUGAUCUUCAGCCCCCCCGGCCUCCGACCACCAGACGAGCGAGCCCUGACGCAUCACCACCCUCAGCCCGAGACGCCGCUCGAUCACUGGGGGACACACACACACACACACACACACACACACACUCAGCACCUUGGACUGGAACCCCCCGGAAACUUGGAAAACCCCAGAGCCCCGAGAACCCCUGGAACCCCUGACACCCCUGGCACUCCUAGCACCCCUGGAACCGGAACCUUCAAGACCUCACGUUUCUCUCACUCCUCUUCCCCCCUGAACCCUUCAAUAAAAAGACUCUGAAUUUGAA